rnacentral:rRNA from 1 species
CCUACGGGUGGCAGCAGUGAGGAAUAUUGGUCAAUGGUCGGGAGACUGAACCAGCCAAGCCGCGUGAGGGAUGAAGGUACAGAGUAUCGUAAACCUCUUUUGUCAGGGAACAAAGGCGGGGACGUUUCCCAGGAUGAGUGUACCUGAAGAAAAAGCAUAGGCUAAUUCCGUGCCAACAGCCACGGUAAUACGGAGGAUGCGAGGGUUAUCCGGAUUUAUUGGGUUAAAAGGGUGCGAAGGCGGUCUGUUAUGUCUGCGGUCAAAGGCGGGGGCUAAAGCCGGAACCGCCGUUGAAACUGGCAGUCUCGAGUUGGCGAGAAGUAUGCGGAAUGCGAGGUGUAGCGGUGAAAUGCAUAG